UGGAUUGAGUUGAGUACAACACAGAGGAGAGAUGGAAAUGCAAAGAAUUUGAUACAUAAAUUAAUAGUUGACAUGGAAAAAGUGAUAUAGCAAUGAGAUAAAGUAUUUCCAAAUGGAAGCAGGGAAAUUUUGCCUAUUUCGAAAUUCCACAGAAAAUUUUAAAAGAGUAAGGUAUCAUGUUCGAUUCAAUUUUGGAAGAGACUUCAAGUCCUACUCAUUCACUCGUUUCCUUUGGCCUGGUGUGAUUUUGAAUUUAAUGUUAUGUUUGGAUCCACCGAAGAAGUACUGUUCACGGAGAUACAAAGAUAGAAAGUACUGUUCACAGAGAUACAUAGACAGAAAAACAGAUGUGGAGCAUGUUUGGUUCAGAUGAUUUGUAUCUAAUUGUAAAUGCUAAUUUACGAAUUUACGAAUGAUGUUGUCCAUCAACUCAAGAGAUACGCAAGAAAAAUCAAAUCACCUCGUUUAUGUAAUUUAAUCAUUACUCUGAUGCUCCUUUUUCUUGCACUCUCUCUUCUUCUCCUUUGCAAAAUACACUGAACACAUAUAUAUUCUACUCCUGCGUUUUAUCUCUCUUUGCCUCACCAUCACUCUCUACACAGUACCCUUGAUCACUCUCCAUCUAAAACCCUUCUUUGCAUCUGGAACAAAUUCUGGAAGAGUGACUUCAACAGAGCCUCCUGCUAUUUCCACUCUCAGCUCCCCUCCUUCUAGGUUGAACUAAAGGUUUCUGCAUCGACUAUCUGAGGUUGAUUUCACCAAAGCAUUAACCAAAAAAAGGUUGAGAUUCAGAUGGUUUCGUCCAGGCGAGCAGCUCUUGCCUAAGCGAAAAUACUAGAAAUUCACCCGUAUUGUUGCGUGAGGUCUCGCCUAGGCGAACUGGUUCCGCUUGAGCGAGAGUCACUCUCGUCUAAGCGAAACAGCUUAGCCUGAGCGAGAAUUCGCUCAAAUUUGGAGUUGCUCUUUUUUUGGGGUCUCGCCCAGGUGAGAGUGACUCGCCUAAGUAUGACAACUCUCUAGCUUAGGCGAGAUUCUCUAGCUUGAGUGAGUUUCACUGCAGAAUUUAAUUAUUUCUCUGUUUUAAAUUAAAUGAAGCUAUACUAAGUGAAUUGAUGUGAUAUUUGUUCAUUCUCUGCUUGAGUUUUUAUGAAUGAUAGUAUACGUGAUGAAAUUGUGUGGAUUUGGUUCAUCAGAGAAUGUGAUUGAAUUAGGAUUUUAAGGAAAAUUCUAAAAAGGAAGGUUUUUGUGAAUAUAAGGACAUGAGGACUCAGUUUUAGUGGUAUCCUAACGCUUUAAUAACCAUUAAGACUCAUAUAGAGUAUAAUGGAUUAUGUCAGGAGGAGUAGCAGGAGGUCCUAGUCUAUGGACUCGAUCUGUCAUAGACACGAAGGGGACUUACCCUGGGAGUGGUUGGAUGAUAACCCCUUGUGCCCAAAACUCUGCAGAGUUUGGGAACUGUCACAUGUGUAAGCCACCAAGAGCUCCAAUGUCUCUUACAUAAUCCGGAUAUUGAGUCUAGAGUCAUGUAUAUGUGCGGUGGUUGUGGUGGUUGAAUAAUUCUGAUAAAUGUGAUAAGCCUUGAUUGAUGUCUAUUUAAUAAGUUACAUGAAUUGUCUUAAUUAAGUUAGCUUACCCUUCUUACAUAUGUUUGCUCUUUUGUGUCUUUUCUCCUUUGCAAUGAUCGCCUACAAUUUGGUGUGAGCAGAUAAAAGUGCAGGUAAAGAUACACCUCUCAUGGACAGGGGUUGAUUUGUGGCAUGAGCAUUUCCAACAAUAGUAUUUACUCCAUGUUUUGCUUAGGUGUGAGGUGUUAUAUAACCCUUUCUUAGUAUAGGCUGUGAUUAUAUACAGUACAUGUAUGAUUAUUUUUGGAUGACCGUAUUGAUAUUUUAUACCAAUCUAUUC